AUGUGUAGACCUGAUGGCACCAACAUACCAGAUGGCAAGUUCUACUUAGGAGAUGCUGGCUCUGCAUGUCGGCCUAGUGUUCUUCCACCCUUCAGAAAAACCAGGUACCAUAUGCACGAGUUCUUAGGUAGGAACUAUCCUAGGACUUCUCAGGAACUAUUCAAUCUCAGACACUCCAGUCUUAGAGUAAUGUUUGAAGGGGCAUUUGGAGCUUUGAAGAAUAUGUAUAAGAUUCUGGAUCAGAAGCCAUUCCACCCUUACCCUACCCAGGUUAAGCUUGCUCUUACAUGUCACAUCAUUCACAACUGGAUCCUACAAUGGGGUUGUGAUGAACUUGUGCCGGAGGAGGAAGAUGUGAUGCCUGAUGACGUGAUCAGCUUCGGCCAUGGCGUGGAGGCAUUUGACAAUGAAGCGUGGAAGAACAAAAGGCUGGAGUAGGCUCACUCAAUGUGGGAUAACAGAGGUCAAAUAAGGAUUUGA
rnacentral:rRNA from 1 species